rnacentral:rRNA from 1 species
ACAAGCGGUGGAGCAUGUGGUUUAAGUUCGAAGCAACGCGCAGAACCUUACCAGCCCUUGACAUACCGGUCGCGGACACAGAGAUGUGUCUUUCAGUUCGGCUGGACCGGAUACAGGUGCUGCAUGGCUGUCGUCAGCUCGUGUCGCGAGAUGUUGGGUUAAGUCCCGCAACGAGCGCAACCCUCGCCCUUAGUUGCCAGCAUCUAGUUGGGCACUCUAAGGGGACUGCCGGUGAUAAGCCGAGAGGAAGGUGGGGAUGACGUCAAGUCCUCAUGGCCCUUACGGGCUGGGCUACACACGUGCUACAAUGGUGGUGACAGUGGGCAGCGAGCACGCGAGUGUGAGCUAAUCUCCAAAAGCCAUCUCAGUUCGGAUUGCACUCUGCAACUCGAGUGCGUGAAGUUGGAAUCGCUAGUAAUCGCGGAUCAGCAUGCCGCGGUGAAUACGUUCCCGGGCCUU